CUUCUGGAGCCAGUGUGCAGCUGUCCUGCUGUGCAGCAAAGCCCAGGAGGGACCCCUGGCUGUGGGAGGGCGGGCUGAGAAGCUAUAGGUGAGGUGGGAGGCUGGUGACCUGUGGGACUCCCAGAGCCCCAAUUCCCAGGGUGGGCCAGUGCAUGUGGCUGCCUGUGGACUCCAGGAUCUUGAUCUAAGUUCCAAUGCCUGUGAGGGUUCCAGGAGCAGGGCCACAUGAGGCCCAGAAGUACCAGAGUGUCUGGGGAGAGAAAUUCAUUCUCAUUGGACAAAAAUUCCCAGGUCUUUCUCCAUUAGGAUCCAGAAUUUCUUAUAAGAGAUAAAGUAAACCAGGCCCCAAACCGAAUUGUCAAAUCUGAAGGGAGUGUAUAAUGUGUAUGUGUGUCUCUCUGUGUGGGUUCAUGUGUGUAUAUAAACACGUAUGUCUGUAUGUGUAUAUACAUAAGCAUGUAUGGGUGUUUAUGUGUGUGAGAGUGUGUGUGUGUGUGUCUGUCUGUGUGCUGCUCUAAGACUUCCUCAUCCUGGGCUCCACCCUGGCCUUUUACUGGUGGCCCCAUCUGCACCCCAUGGGUUGUAAGGGACAUAAUAGUUUUCCAGUUGCAAGCAAAUAAGAAGGGAGUCAGAAUGAUGACUAUUGGGAAGAACUGGUCUUCAUCACACUUGGAGUAAAGAAACAGGAGCUCAAUGGGUGGACACCUCCCUUUACAGGAUUCAGGAUUAUAAAAGUAUCAGGCACUGAUUUAAGGGAUUUACAUGAAUUAGAUAAUCUAAACCUCAUAAGACCCAAAGGAGAUAGGGACAGCUUUCAACUCCAUUUUACAGACAAGGAAACUGAGGCCUCCAAAAAGUGAAGUGGCUUUCAAAUGAUUGAACCAUGACUUUAACAAAAGUCUGACUGCUGAGCCCAAGUUCCCACUCUGUCAUGUUGACUCCUGUACACUGUUCACCUGCCUCAUUAAGGGUCACCUCCUCCUGUGGACUCUGAUAGCUUCCCUUCCCCUCCAGGCCCUGAGACUGGUUGGGAGUCUAUUGCAUUUCUCACAGUGCCUACAGGUGAGACAUGGGUUUGAAAUGACAGGAGAGUUGGUUCUGUUGGCUGAUGGAGUGUGUUUGCUAGAGGUGGUAGGAAGGGAGUGUCACAUCUGGGCUGCAGGGAAUCAAUGGUGUUUGCAUUUAGGGUGUGAGGUGGGCUGUCCAGAAUGCUAAAGGGGUGAAGACCAGCCAUGGCCAUGCAGAGUUUACUCCUCACUGUUUUAUUUCACAACUCGAAAGCACAGCCUCACAUGGGCCUGAGAGACACUGAGGUGUUCACUCAUCUCCUUCCAUUCCCUGCUCGCCCAACUUCUCUUCUUCCAACUGACUUCCUGGCCACGUCUGCUCUCCAAGGUGAAAACGUGAGGAAAGGACUAGCCAUUUACUCUCACCCUGCCUGCUGCUCCCCACUGGGGCCUCCUGGAUGGUGAGAGGAAAGCAACUAGGACAGUAAGAGAACUUGACAUUUAUGCUGGUAAAGAGAAAGCAGGAUGUGUGUCUUCAAGAAAGGGAAAGGCUGCCCUAGGGAAGAGGAGUGAGAGUAGUUUUAAAUGUCCCUAAGGGUCAUUUAACUGAGUAAAACCUAUGGGAGGUUUUAUCAGUUAUCUAUUGCUCUGUAACAAAUUACGACAAACUUAGCAGCUUAAAAUAAAGCAUUUAUUUUCUCUUACUUUCUAUGAGUCAGGAGUCCAAGCAUGGCUUUGCUGGGUCCUCUCCUUCAGACUUCCCCACAAGGCUUUAAUCAGAUUGUCGGCCUGGGCUGGGCUCUUCUCUGAAGGCUGAGCUGGGGGAGGAUCCACUUCUAAGCUCAUGUGGUUGUUGGAGGGAUUCACUACUUGUCGGCUGUUAGACUGAGGGCCUCAGUUUCUUGUUGAAUGUUGGCUGGAGGCUGACAUCAGUUUCUUGCCAUGUGGGCCUUUCCAAGAGGACAGCUCACUUCAAAGCUUGCCAGAACAGAAGGCAGUAGACAGAGACUAGCAAGAUGAAAGUCAUGGUCUUACAUAAUCUAAUCAUAGGAGUGACAUCACUGUUGCCAUAUUCUGUUGGUUAGAAGAUAGUCACAAGUCCCUCCCACACUCAGUGGGAGGAGAUUCCACAAGAAUGUGAGUCCCAGGAGGCAGGGAUCAGUGGGCACCAUCUUAGACUCUGUCUGCACAGGACGUUCCAGGUCAGAGAAAGCAGGAGCGGGAGCUAUCGAGGCCUCUGCCGUGGAUGUGUUCACAGAUAGGCUGGACAAUCACUGAACAAGGUCAUUAUAACUGUGGGUUACACACUGGACAAGAUGAUCUGCAGAGCUGAGCUGUGUUUAUCAAAGCACAAUCCUGGAUACAAGAAGCAAAGUUUUCAUUGGAAAGAUUUCUCCCCAGUUCUGUGUGAACCUGAGACAGCAUCGUCUCUGAACAUUUUCCCCUUCACUUUUCAGAUGUCCUACAUCUCUAAGAAAGCACCAUCACUAAACUGAACUGGUUUUCUCUUCCAUGUGUCAUCCUGCCAGCAAAUCCUGGGUCCCACGAUUUCUUCCAGCAGCCUCUCAUAUGGGAUCCCACAAAGUCACUUCUUGUGAUUCCACUUUGUUUCCUUCCCUUCAUUCAGCUUAUCUUCUGGUCAUUUUGUUUCUCCUGUAUUAAUUAGUCAAUUAUAUUAGGAAAUUGGUGUCUUCUAACCAAGGCUUCCUACCAAGUUUUAGUCCAAAUGAAACUCUCCAAGUCUCAGCUCACUUCCCAAACAGGGACUCCACAAAAUUAGUGGGAGUCCUGGAAAGUCGUGGAUUGGCAAGUUCCUCAUCAGAACCAGACAUAUAAAUCACAAAGGGAUGAGGUAUAUACCUUUGAUUUCCUUAUGUCUCCAGCAGGGAGCAGCAGACCUGGCACUCAAUAAUUGUACAGUGGAACUAAACUUAACUCCUGCCUGAUCACCAACAACAUAAGAAUCCACCCCAUCCUUAAGUUAUGGACCAGAAUCCCUUGUCCUAUGUCAUUUCCCAAGGUGGAAUGCUGACCAUUUGGGGACCAUUCUUUUUUCCUACCUCAUUUUCCACAUGCUGCUGCUCCAACGCCAAACACUAGAUUGAUCCCUCAGAACUCUCUGGGUUGUUUCUACUCCCUUCCUCCAUCUUAGUAGUCUCCCUUUUGCUCCUGCGAUGUUUUUCCCUGCCCACUCCCCUUCUCCAUGUAGCUAGUCUAGUGUCUCUGUUCAUUCUUCACACUUCUACAGAGAGAUUCUUCUAGAAUGCAGAUCUGAUCAGGGUUCUCCCUAGCUUCAGUGCAGCCAUAUGCUGCAUGUUGUUCUCUGGUGAAAAGCCAAGGAUCUCUUCAAGCUGAGAUGACCUUUGAGAUCUGGAGCAUGGUCACCACUCCCCUCCUGCUUUUGUCCCUGUGCUCUUCUCUCUCUAAUCUCCACACUGAUCUGCUGACAGUUCCUCCACACUCCUCAAGUGUGUGCAGGAGCUCUCCCUCCCUCCCUCCAUCUCUCUCUCUCUCUCUCUCUCUUUCUCUCUCUCGCCUUUGUUUGUGAUGCUGAUUCUCUAAAAGGUUUCCUUUGUCCAUUUACCUGGACUCACUCUACUUCUCCCCCAGGUCUCAGGUUAGACAUUGCUUCCUCCUGGAAGUGGUUUCCUAGCACUAAUUAUAUGCUGCAUUUACCAGCUGAUUCAGCCCCAUUGUGAAUUCCUUGAUGUUUCACUCAAGGAGGCCCAGCAGAGAAUCUGACACAUAAUAACGGCCUAAUAAAUGUUUGCUAAAAAAAGGAUUGAUUGCUGAUCUGCUGUGACCACCCAGCUCCAGACCACAGACCUGUUACCUGCUGUGUUCAUCAACUGCUGUGUGAAAUCUUGUGCUGGCAAAGCAAUCUCAUGACUGUUGUAAAAGGUGGAGGGGAAGUGGAGAAGAGGACAGACGUUGAGGAGAGGAGAAAUGUGAAAGAGAAGAAGGAGGCAAGGAGAGAUGGGGAGAGGAGAAGAGAAUCAGUAUGAUUCAGAGUUCUAGCAUUCAGAGCUCUUGUUUUGUAAUUUAAGAGUCUCCACAAUUUAUAGGCCAGGGCUUACUGUGCUUUGUAUAGCCCUUGAGGAGCCUCGUUCUUCAAAAUUGGCUGUGUGGUCACCAGCAGCUUCCAUGAGCUGAAGGCAAUUCUCUGGAGAAGGGGCAGCUGUGAGUCUUCUGCAAUAUCACUCACUGCAGCUGAGAACAGGGUGUUCUGGCCUGGGGAAGGGAAUUUGGAUGGGGUACCAAAAGCGCCUGCUACAGUCCAUCCCUUGCACCUCUCACUUCCGCUUUCUUCUUACAUUAAGUUUACUCCAUCUUGUUGGGUCACGAUGUCUAAGGAAAUUGCAAGAAAACGAUUAGGACCAGUAGUGGCAUAAAUGAAAGUUCUCCCUGCUGCAGUUGGUUCCCAGACCACAACUCACCUCCUCCUCUACCAUCAACCUCAGGAUAAAAUGACACUUAAAGGUGGAUUUAAGGCCCCUCCCGCCCUGGGUGCCUUCUGAUCACUGACUUGUGGUUGAAAAUCUUGCCAAGACCAGGAUGGCUUGUGAGCUUGUUACAAAAUACGCAGGCCUCUCCCCAAAACUGCUGUCAGAAUGUUGGGCAUGGAGUCCGUGUAUCACUUAUUUAACAAGCUACAGGGUCUCCUGCACGCAGUGCCACCAUGGGCCUCGUGGGGACAAUGACAGGCAAGAUGACUCCUGCUGCUGUCAGAGACGGGGACAUCCAGAGGAGAAUGAGACUCGAACUCGCACACAAGAACAAGAAUAGGCACAACCUCCUACAGAAACAAACAAACAACAAAUAAAUGCACAAAAGAUGGAGGCUGAGGGCCAGACCCAAGCCUGAGCCUAGGCUGACCUGGCCACCUGAAGCCCCCGCUGCCCACAGUCUUGGAGACACUACAAGACCCAGGUGAUACCCGAGUCCCUGUGAUCACAUGUCCUGGUGUGACAAGGUUCUACUGAAGGGACAAAGACAAAAGAACAGAGAGAUGACCCAGCAGAGGAGUGACCACAUAAAAGCCCAUGAUGUACUGAGCACCGACUGGGCACAGGCCCCGUCCAUGUUGGGCUGCUCAGAACCUUCUCCUGUCCCCACCUGCAACAGACAGCACAGCAAACAUGCAGAUUCUGGAAGGUUCUCAGGUUUUAUUUCCUCUCUCAAGUUUUAAGAAUCUUUCCUUUAUUAACCCACCAAUACCAUCUUAUGGCAAGAAUUUGAGAAAAGUUUAUAUUCAGAUUAGUUUUUUCAAUAGAGAGGUAAGAAUUUGCACCUCAUGCAACAUGAAGGUAAGACAGGGAUGUGGGCCCUUUAGACAUAUAUUUAAAAUAUAAGCAAAAGAUUUAAACCUUAGAAUUCUGCCAUCUUAGAAUUCUUUGGCUAUUGCUCCCCACUCCCCCAUCACAUUUGCCUAAAUUCAAACAAUUCUGUUUUCUUUCACCCUCAGCCCUCUCUCUCCUCAUUGUCUAUACCCAGAUGAAAAUAUACAUGAAACUUUUAUAAUUGUGGAUUAAAGAAGGAUUCUCUAAGCAUGACUGAAAGAUGAGAAACCAUAAAGAAAAAAUAAAAUUUCUCUGUCAACCACAAACUCACAGAUAUUCAAAUACAUGCCCAUAAUCAAAUUAAAAAACACACAAAAAUUUGACAGAGAAAAGGGUAACAUGUGUCAAUAUGCUUGAGCCAAGCCCACCAGGAACAUACCUGUAGUUGAACACUUUGGGUUUAUUACUCAAUGUAGAGAGGGGAGCAUGCACCAUGCGAUAAUGUGUGGAGUCUUAGGAUCAGGCUGUUAGAAAGAAUAUAUUACAGGAUUUGGGCUUUGGUUGGGUGAUUUGGGGGAGGGUCAUUGGAAGCAGGGGCUCACUCUAGAUUGGAUAUUGUCUGGAAAUGGGAGUAAUUCUAUGACCGGGCAUCUCAAUAAAUCUUCUCUGUAGACAGGGCUGACUAGAGCAAGGACAAAACUCUAGCUGGAAAGAAGCAGCAGUCGCUCACAGGAGCCAUUACAGGGAGACGUUUGGUAUUUUGUGAGUUGCACGGUGCCUUGUUUUUGUCUGUGCUUUAAUAAAAUGAUGUAGUGGUCUUGUUUUGUCUCAUUUUGUCAUGGUCUCAGAGUGUCCUUGUCUCAUGUGAGUGUUUUAUAAGAUGGUUUGUCCAACAGGAGAACAACAUAGCUUAGCUGUGAGCACCAGGCCGCAUUUUGACGGCACUGAUGUCUAGUUUUAAGCGUCAGACCAGUUCCCGGAUGUCAGGAGCUGCUUUUCUUCUUACUUAAAUUCAAUAUUUUUAAAUAUGCACAUCUCAAUCAGAAAGUAAUUAAAUAUAUUGAAAGCAAGUUGGAAAAGGAGAAAUGUAAAUGUCAAACAAAUAUAUUGGCAAUAAAUGUAAACGAAAAUGAGAAUGUGGAAUAACAAAUGGGAACAAAAAUGAAAAUUUAUCAGCUUGGCAAAGAUGAAAGGAAAUGGUGAGGAAUUUGACCAGACUAUAGGGAAAAUAUACUGUCUGAAAGCUUGAUGGGAUUGAAAAGUGGAAUACAAAAUUUCUUUUUUUCCCCUCUUCUUAGCACUUUAUCAAUUUGUAUUUACUCUCACAAUAUUAUAAGGUUACAAAAUAAGUAGUAAAGAGGACACAAUUUAGUAAUUGAAUAUUAGAUUCCCUGGACAUGGUCUAAAUAUUGUUACCAAAAGAUUAUAUAAUAUAAAAUUAUUUUUAAGUGUGCCAAGCACAAAGCUGACUUUCUUAAUCACUCAGAGAAAGUUUUCUAAAGCCCAGAGUCUUUUGCUCAUCUCUAUCCUGAAGUAUGAAAACUUGAAGGAAAAAAUACUAGAAUUAAUGAUUACAUUAAAUGUUAAUAAAGUGUUAGGCUUUCUUCAGCUCUGAAGUACAGAAAAGGAAUAUGAGACUUCUAAAUGGCACUUUUGCAAAACACCACAGCAAUUUAGGUGUGCUUACAUUUUGAUGCAGAAAUUUCUCUUUCAGGAAUUUAUCCUAAGAAGAUAAUCAUACAUGUUCUCAAAAAUAUGUGUUCAGGAUGUUUCUUGAAUUGUGGUUUAUACAAGCAAAAGAAUGGAACUUAUCUAAAUGCUAUCAGGCUAUGAUGCCAUCAUUUACAUAGAGGGCCAAAUUUAAUCCUCAAAGCAAACCUGUGAGGCUCCCAACAUGUGAUCCCUUUGUAUGAACAGGCAUAGGGAGACUCAGAGAGGUUUAGGAGGGGAAGGAGCCAGGGUGGAACCCAUGGAGUUUCUCUCAGAGCUUUGUUGACUCGUCUUCCAUUGGUUUCCCUGGCCAAUGUUGGUGGUAGGAUGACUCUGCACCCCAUGCAACUGAACUGUUUCGAUGUUCCAGAAUCUUUUAUGACACGAGGCCACUAGGCUCAGAGCUCAGAAGGACAUCAAGGGGUAGUGUGACUUAACUGCCCAAACCACAGUAAAGUCCAUCAUCCAGAGUAUAUUUCAAGGCCUCUGGUGGAUCCAGAUCAGCUAGACUCUGAAGGUACAGUGAAGAGGAAAAUAAGACCCUGGUGACAUGGAGCUUGCAUUGUCCUGAGAGAGAUGGACAUUUAGCAGAAAUGACAAAGUUAAAUGAAAUCACUACUGAGCCAAGUGCUGUGAGGAAAAAGUUCAUGAUGACAUGAAAGCAGACAACCAGGAGACCUGACAGGUCCCCCACCACUACUAUCAAUAAUAUCUAAGAGAUGUGAAUCAUAUAUGGCAUAUGAAACAAAAAGCAAUUAUAUACAAUUGUGUACAAUCAUAGAUUAAGAAAGAGCUCUUGGAAAUUAAAAAUAUGAUAAUAGAAAUGAAUACUUCAGUAGAUGAACUGGAAGAUUAAAGUUAUACUCCUAGUAAGUAGUACAGAUGGAAAAGUCAUGGCAAGAAGGAGAGAAGACAUAUAAGAAUAUUAGUGUAUCAAUCAAGGGAUUCCAACACGUUAAUAAUAUCAGUUUCAAAAAAAAAUGGAGAGUAAGAAAUGAGAAAAAUAUAAAUCAAGCAAACUUCUCAAAUUUACAGAUAAAAAUUUUCAUUUUGAAUGGCCUAACCAAGUUCUUAGUACAGUAGACGAAAACAGACCCACACCAUGACAAUCAUGAAAUUUCAGAAAGAGGGUGGAAAGGAAGAAACCUUGAAAACUUCAAGAGGCAACAAACAUAGUCCUGAAGCCUAGAAGACAUUACAGCAAUGCCUUCCAAAUUCUGAGGAAACAAUAUUCCAACAUAGAAUUCUAUACCAAGUCAAGAUGUGAGUAAGGGCUGGGGCAGCCUAAAGACAUUUCAGAUGUUUAGGGUUUCAAUGUUUUAUUUUCCAUGUUCCCUUCCUCGGGAUACUGCUAGCAAAGUGGGGAACAAUGACCGAGAAAACCAAAAAAGGGAAAAAUGGGAUCCAGGCAACAGGGGAGCCAGAACGAGAGAGGCAAAGGGCUCCCAGGAUGAGGUGAAGGAGAUACGGGAUGUCAGCCCUGCCCCAGGUGUGCAGGGAACCAGUCCACAUGUGGCAGGACUGAGGGCUGUGGGACAGGUGUCUUCACAAAGAUGAAGCUGGUAGAACGUCAGAUGUGCUCAAAUACAUUCACGAACAUUUAGACUCUGGGGGCAGCAAGGGAAUGAUUUAGUGAUGAAUACAACAGAAACUAGGCACAUGAAGAAAUAAAAUAUUUACUAACUCCAGGGAACAUAAAAAGUUGACUCAAGAAAGGAAAAAUACUCAUAACUUAGUAAAUGCUCAGUUGUGACUAGUGUUUACAUGGUCAUAAUAAUGCAAACACUGCACGUUGAGCUUAUCACAAUUGUAAAGUAAUUAUGUUGGGAGGAUGGGGGUGUGUGAAUGAAGAGCCAAUUCACUAAAACUGAGAAACAAAGGAGUUACACUCAUUAUUAAGCAUGACAUUUAGAAGCAUAGAAGUAACAAUUGGAGAGUCAGCUAAAAGAACUAUACAGGUGGUCUCUGAGAUUCAGGAAAUGGGAGGGGACAUCUGUCUUCAUAACAAGCCUUGUCGAAGUAUUGGACUUUUUAAACUAUGUACAUUAUCCAUUUGAUAAAAAUAAAAAGACAACAUGGUAGUGAGAGAAUGGACUCAGGAAUUGUCCUAUAAGGAGUGUCAUAGAAAUGGAGCAGUAGUUGGAGGGAGACAUGGGAUUGAUUGGUGGAUUUUUUUUUUCCUUUUUUUUUUGUGAAGAAGAUUUGCCCUGAGCUGAUCCAUGCCAAUCCUCCUCUUUUUGCUGAGGAAGACUGGCCCUGAGCUAACAUCCAUGCCCAUAUUCCUCCACUUUACGUGGGAUGCCGCCACAGCGUGGCCUGACAAGCGGUGCGUUGGUGCCUGCCCGGG